GCCGGAAGUUGUUCACCAUGUGGAUCCUCUCAUCGUCCUCUGAGAUGAGAAAAGCAAGACUCAGAGAAGAUGAGUGAUGGGCUCAAAGAUGUGCAGUGAGUGACUGAGCAAAGAUGAAAACCCAGGGCUGCUGGGUCCCUUAUUCAAUAUUGUCCAAAAUCACUGGAAAGGGAGGAAGUGGAUUUUAAAUUUGACUCUCAUUUGUGUGUAUAUGCAAGUCCCUCCAAAAGGACUUAAGAGAAGCUAGGGACAGUGUUUACCUACAGGGAGGAGACUGGAUGCCGGAAGGUUGUGGGAGGCUGUGGAAGGGUGUGGUAUGGCGUGGGAAGGGCACUCUUUACUGGUACUCCUUUGUAUCUUUUGAAUGAAUUAAAGCAUGUAUUACCUCUUUAACAACCAAAUAAAAGUUGAUUCAGUUCUUUCCUUCCUGCA